UACGAAGGGGGCUAGCGUUGCUCGGAAUGACUGGGCGUAAAGGGCGCGUAGGCGGAUGGCACAGUCAGAUGUGAAAUUCCCGGGCUUAACCUGGGGGCUGCAUUUGAUACGUGUUGUCUUGAGUUCGGAAGAGGGUCGUGGAAUUCCCAGUGUUGAGGUGAAAUUCGUAGAUAUUGGGAAGAACACCGGUGGCGAAGGCGGCGACCUGGUCCGACACUGACGCUGAGGCGCGAAAGCGUGGGGAGCAAACAGG
rnacentral:rRNA from 1 species